GUCGAACGGAUUAUUCUUUAUAGCUUGCUAUAAAGAAUAGUUAGUGGCAGACGGGUGAGUAAUGCAUAGGAAUCUACCUAGUAGUAUGGGAUAGCCACUAGAAAUGGUGGGUAAUACUGUAUAAUCCCUGCGGGGGAAAGAUUUAUCGCUAUUAGAUGAGCCUAUGUUAGAUUAGCUAGUUGGUAGGGUAAAGGCCUACCAAGGCGAUGAUCUAUAGCUGGUCUGAGAGGAUGAUCAGCCACACUGGAACUGAGAUACGGUCCAGACUCCUACGGGAGGCAGCAGUGGGGAAUAUUGGACAAUGGGCGCAAGCCUGAUCCAGCUAUGCCGCGUGAGUGAGGAA
rnacentral:rRNA from 1 species